UACGUAGGGUGCAAGCGUUGUCCGGAAUCAUUGGGCGUAAAGAGCGUGUAGGCGGCCCGGUAAGUCCGCUGUGAAAGUCCAGGGCUCAACCCUGGGAUGCCGGUGGAUACUGUCGGGCUCGAGUCCGGAAGAGGAGUGUGGAAUUCCUGGUGUAGCGGUGAAAUGCGCAGAUAUCAGGAGGAACACCAAUGGCGAAGGCAGCACUCUGGGACGUGACUGACGCUGAGACGCGAAAGCGUGGGUAGCAAACAGG
rnacentral:rRNA from 1 species